ACCGCAAGGAGCGGCCCAGGGUAAAAUCGGUAACUAGGGCUAAGUCGUAACAAGGUAGCCGUACCGGAAGGUGCGGCUGGAACACCUCCUUU
rnacentral:rRNA from 1 species